ACCCUCUAAUACUGGAGAAGGAACUGGUCCUCCUUCACUAUCAAGAAAAUCAUCCCAAAGGAAUAUUACACUACAUAUUCUAUUACGGGGAUGGCUCCUGGAAUAGAGGCCAUUAGUCCUCUGGAUGUUACUGGUGAUGAUCAGUGUCCUGAUGAUGUUUUCAUCCAGUGGUGGCAGGAUUGUGUUGAUGCUCCUGUUCCUUACAAGGACCUACUCUCUCUCCAAUAGGGUCACCAGUGGGAGGGGCUGGGUGGACCUUACAAUGAUAGCAAUGAAAUAUCAGCUUUCUUUGAUGUCCUCAAAUCUUGUGCCCACGUUUUAGAGUAUUUUGGAAGAAUAGCAAUCAAUAAGAAAUGGUUAGC